GUACUACAGGACCAUCAACGGCAAGUCCAUUGGCAAGAGGAGGGAUUUCAUCUUCUAUACCUUCUGUAGUAAGUUUGAUCUUCUUCCAAAUAACUGGUGAAGCAACAAUUAAAGAACCACAUAGCAAUGCCCAGCAACUAGCAAAAUAAUUCAUGUAAGGAAUAUUAAGGGUAUCCAUCCGAUAAGUGAUUGCGGCACCAGCUGAUUGUAAUGACUUAUAGAAUCCCAUAUAUACCGCCAAUUUAUUGGUAUCGUUACUAAGACUUCCGAUAAUCCAAUAAGCAUAACUCUGGAAUAUAGCAUCAAGCAUUCCGUAAAAUAUGUAUAAAAAUGCAUAACCAGUAUAUCCACGAUGCGUAAAAUCUGUAACCACAAAAUCAGACUCAGCCACUGAUUUUCUGGUAUACUUCAAUUGGAAUGCUAAACCACCACCCCAAAUUACACAGAUUAAUACGAAGACCAAACCCCAUCCAACCCUAGCACGGAUAACUCUGUUAAAUCUUUGCCAAUCCAAAAAAAGUGCUGCUACGGCAGAACCCAUGAUCUGGGCGAACCAGUACAACAAGUUAUUCAACGAACGCGUACGAAUAUUAAAGUAUGCAAGAUUAAAGUCGUUAAAUUGAUAUGUGGUAAACCAGUUUGAAGAAAAGAACAUAGGAAAAAGGAGUAGAACCCAGUAUUCUUUAUAUAGAGUUUGAACUAAGCCGAGUAAUUCUUUCUUCCAUCCCAUACUCUUCUCAAUAUGGACAAACUUUCCAUCUUCUUUGACAGUUUUUUCUGGGCUAACCAUAAACAAUGCAAGGGCACUGCCCACAGCCAUUAGAACAAUAAAACCAGCGUAGGUGCCGUCUCCAACAGAAUUUACUGAUGAAUGCAUUGUUUGAGCAAGAGGAACGAUACUUCCGAUGACGGCGCCCAGGUUAAAAAUUCCCCAGAAAAUAGCUAUAUAGCGAGCCUUAUUUUCUUCACGAGGGUAUGACAUGAUAACCGCUCCUUGAGCAGCCCACAGCAUUCCAGCGGUGAGACCUAAAUAGCAACCACCGAAAAUGACAAAACCCCGGUUGUAAACGUGUUUAUAACAAAGUAGAGAAGCGGUAUAUACAGAAUAUCCAGUACCACCUAUUGCAAGCGUAAGCUUCACGCCAAUUAAGUUGCAAAUAGAACCAGCAAAGAAACCGAGACCGGCGAAGGUACUAUACAAAGCGACAUUGGCGUCGUUUGCUACAUCAGCAUUUACUUCACCACCACCUCCAAGACCACUUAAGGCGUUAAACAUUCCCGGACACAAGAAACACACCCACGAUACAAUAAUGGUUUGAGUUAAAGCACUACCAUAUGCUAAACUUUUGAAGCGACCUAUCCUUGGUCGUCGAUAAAUCCAUGAUGAUUGACUUAAUGGGGCAGUCUCGACUUCUCCGUAUUCUGGUGUUGGCGCCUUUUCAACGUCAACAUCUGCUGAGUACUUCUUUUCCAUACUAAUAUCCAAAUUAUCGGAGCUCAUAGUGGAUAUUGAAUUAGGCUUAUUAUUUAUUCGUAUAAUUUGAAGGAUAAUUUAAAAACCACGUUCUUUAGCAGCCUGACUAUAUAUACAGAUUUGAUAUUAAAAAUGAUUAUGGUUUGAACGUUCAUGUAAGGCUUUUUAUAUAUAGGAAAUAAAAGUCAACUUAGAAAUUAAAUGUUAUCAAACCUGGCUUGUUGAAGACCAUGAUCAACUGUAAUCACGAUGAUAUUGUCUAUCUUCAAAUGAAACCCCCAGAGCACAAUGUGGUGGAAGUACAUCUCCCCUGAGAUCAUGCUAAAAUCAAGAACUAAAGUCCACUCUGAAUAACCAUUAUGUUCAAACGAAUUAUUCAACAAUCAUCUUU